rnacentral:rRNA from 1 species
AUUGAACGCCGGCGGCAGGCCUAACACAUGCAAGUCGAGCGGAUGAAGGGAGCUUGCUCCUGGAUUCAGCGGCGGACGGGUGAGUAAUGCCUAGGAAUCUGCCUGGUAGUGGGGGAUAACGUCCGGAAACGGGCGCUAAUACCGCAUACGUCCUGAGGGAGAAAGUGGGGGAUCUUCGGACCUCACGCUAUCAGAUGAGCCUAGGUCGGAUUAGCUAGUUGGUGGGGUAAAGGCCUACCAAGGCGACGAUCCGUAACUGGUCUGAGAGGAUGAUCAGUCACACUGGAACUGAGGCACGGUCCAGACUCCUACGGGAGGCAGCAGUGGGGAAUAUUGGACAAUGGGCGAAAGCCUGAUCCAGCCAUGCCGCGUGUGUGAAGAAGGUCUUCGGAUUGUAAAGCACUUUAAGUUGGGAGGAAGGGCAGUAAGUUAAUACCUUGCUGUUUUGACGUUACCAACAGAAUAAGCACCGGCUAACUUCGUG